rnacentral:rRNA from 1 species
GAUGAACGCUGGCGGCGUGCCUAAUACAUGCAAGUCGAGCGAACAGACGAGGAGCUUGCUCCUCUGACGUUAGCGGCGGACGGGUGAGUAACACGUGGAUAACCUACCUAUAAGACUGGGAUAACUUAGGGAAACCGGAGCUAAUACAGGAUAAUAUAUUGAACCGCAUGGUUCAAUAGUGAAAGACGGUUUUGCUGUCACUUAUAGAUGGAUCCGCGCCGCAUUAGCUAGUUGGUAAGGUAACGGCUUACCAAGGCAACGAUGCGUAGCCGACCUGAGAGGGUGAUCGGCCACACUGGAACUGAGACACGGUCCAGACUCCUACGGGAGGCAGCAGUAGGGAAUCUUCCGCAAUGGGCGAAAGCUUGACGGAGCCACGCCGCGUGAGUGAUGAAGGUCUUCGGAUCGUAAAACUCUGUUAUUAGGGAAGAACAAAUGUUUAAGAAACUAUGCACGUCUUGACGGUACCUAAUCAGAAAGCCACGGCUAACUACGUG